rnacentral:rRNA from 1 species
CGGAGCGGGUUCGCAGAGUAAGGGGGAGUAAGGCGAGGAGAAUCUGCGUAUGAGCGGGGGACAACAGUAGGAAAUGAAUGAUAAGGCGGCAUAAAAACUUUAAACACAAGUUUUAAGUUGGAGAGUUGCAAGAGCAUCAGUCAUAGAUGGUCCCGCGUUGUGUUAGGUAGGUGGUGAGGUAAAGGCUCACCACAGGGGGUGAGAUAUAGCCGACUGAGAGGGGUGAUCUGCCCUACACAGGGAAUGAGAGCACGGCCUCCAAGAUCUUAUAGGGAGGCAGCCAUAUGGGAAUAUUUGGCACAAGGAGGGAGAAGUGCUGACCCGCAACGCCGCGUGAGUGAAGAAGGUGUUCUGGAUACGUA